rnacentral:rRNA from 1 species
UAGGGAAUUUUCCACAAUGGGCGAAAGCCUGAUGGAGCAACGCCGCGUGCAGGAUGAAGGUCUUCGGAUUGUAAACUGCUUUUCUCUGUGACGAUUAUGACGGUAACAGAGGAAUAAGGGUCUGCUAACUACGUGCCAGCAGCCGCGGUCAUACGUGGGACCCAAGCGUUAUCCGGAAUUACUGGGCGUAAAGAGUUGCGUAGGUGGCAGAGUAAGUUGGUAGUGAAAUCCUGGGGCUCAACCCUUUAAACAUUAUCAAAACUGCUCAGCUAGAGGACAAGAGAGGUCACUGGAAUUACUAGUGUAGGAGUGAAAUCCGUAGAUAUUAGUAGGAACACCGAUGGCGUAGGCAGGUGACUGGCUUGUUCCUGACACUAAGGCACGAAAGCGUGGGGAGCGAACGGGAUUAGAUACCCGCGUAGUCC